UGCAGACGGAGUUGUCAGGCUACGGACACUUUACAAGAUGGUGGUGAAAGCUGAAACACUCCUCUCGGUCAUACAGAUUCAGAAAUGGCAGAAAGUAGCAGAAAACACCAGGAAAUAUUGAGUCACUUACUGAAGGUAAAUGUCACCAGGGAAAGGCUUGUUCAUUGUAAGGCACUCUCCGUAGGCUUGGGUUACCAGACGUCCCUGGUUCCCGGGGACAGUCACCAGAUUUGCAAAUCUGUCCCUGGACAAAUUCCGUCCCUGGAAUGUCCCCAGAUUUGCAAAUCUCUCCCUGGGAAAUGUGGCAGCGGCAGCCUCAGCAGCCCAGAGCCAGCCUGGUAGCGCAGUUGGCUCUGGCUGGCUUCAGGAGCUGCUCGCUGCCCACUGACAUGGCGCCCGCCAGUUUGCCUCCCGGAAGUCCCCAUAUAAUGUGUCUUGUGUGCAACACAUCAUAUGGGGACUUCUGGUGAGGAAAAAUGGCGGGCACCACAGCAGCAAGCAGCUCCUGAAGCCAGCCAGAGCCAACUGCGCUACCAGGCUGGCUCCGGGCUGCUGGCUGCCACUGCUGAAGGGGAACCAGGGGCGUCCAGCAGUACAGAUUUCCUGCCCCCUUUGUUUUGACUGAUCAGGGAGGCUCGGGAGUUGCGGGUGGGCGGCCGUUGCCCAGUUUUUUAAAAACUCUGCACAUUUAUGUUUCACAGGGUGCGAAAGAAGGGCUUCUGGUUUUUUAACAAAAGUAUUUUUAUACAUUUUCUUUAACUCAUUAUAUAUCAUUUCCCUGUAAGCUUUUACCUCUUUACAAGUCCACUGCAUGUGAUAAAAGCUCCCUUCCUUUUCUUUACAUUUCCAACAAACACAUUUUUUUGAGGGGGCCCUCUUGACCCCCUGCCCCCAGCUUAUUAAAUCUAGCAGAGUUGGGUUGACUGGUUGGGUCCAGAAUAUGAUUAAUGCUUCAUUGAAUAAUAAUAAUAAUAAUAAUAAUAAUAAUAAUAAUAAUAAUAAGGGCUAACAAUCUCCUUUCCCUUCCUCCCCCACGACAAACACUCUGUGAGGUGAGUGAGGCUGAGAGACUUCAGAGAAGUGUGAGUAGCCCAAGGUCACCCAGCAGCUGCAUGUGGAGGAGCGGGGAAGCGAACCCGGUUCACCAGAUUACGAGUCCACUGCUCUUAACCACUACACCAGCUGGCUCUCAUUGAGGGCCACAAAUUCUCCAUCCUUGCUUUAUAGGUCCCGGUGAAACCUCACUGGUCCUUUGUGUUCACCUGUCCACUGCUGAGCUAGCAGUUUGGCUGCCUCCCUUUAGCACUCUCCAGACGUGGUACCCAAGAGAAUCAGAGGACGGAGAAGCAAAUCCCACUGCUGCUGCUGCUGCUAACAUGCCACUGUGGUGCAGGAAGUCAACGGAGCCAAACUCCUGGUUCCACACCCUUUACAUACACACAAAAAAAAUCCACAUUAUUGUGCUUCCGAGUCAGGCUCUCGCUGCCCCCUGCCCCCCUCGCCCUGCACUCCAUGCUACAAAUUAUUAAAGAGAUAUUUAGCUGCCACUCCGUUCCAUCUAAGGAGACAAAAACCUCUUCCGCUUGAAGUCACCACAGAUCCAUCAGAGUCUGGCCACUGCCUGUCACUCGUGCAUCACACGCCUCAUUCAUAUUAAAGAGAGGUUGUUCUGCGGGGUUUAAACACCA